rnacentral:lncRNA from 1 species
AAGGUUCGUCGAGCACUCAGUUGUUGUGAUUGAUUCGCACCGUCUUCACUCCCGUCUGAACAUGGCUUUUCUAUGUUCGGUCGGAUUUCCUGAUAGUAUCCUCCUUGUAGCAAAAUGGCUAGGUUGUAUAUAAGUUUCUGAUUGGUUAUAGCUGUAGUAAUAUAUCUUUGGUUGAAUUGUUUCACUAUGCUCAUAGAUCUAUGGAACAUAUCUAGCCAAUUCAUGUUUUAGCUUAUUGAAUUCACUGUUAUGUAUGUAUAUUACUCUUAACGAUGUCGUGUAAACGUGUAUGUUGUUUGGUUUGGUCUUGACUCUUGAAUCGUAUAGUCAACCAUAAAGACGUGUUGUAGAUGUGUGUUUUGACUAAUUAACAGUUUUUUGUUUUCUGAUUGAAUGAUGUUACCCACGUAUAUGGGUUUCUGGUUGUUACCUGAUAAAUCCUUCCUCUAGUCUAAAUCCUUUAUUCUGAUGGAUUAUAAAGAUCGAAAGACAAAUAGUCUCUGAAAAGGUGCAUCGGAAAGAGAAGAAGGAGAAAAAGAAAGAUAAGAAACCAAAGAAAGAGAAGAAAUCCCCUAAACUAGAGUAUAUCUCAGCCAAGCAAGUCUCAGAUGAGUCUAAGCAAGUCUCAGAUGAGUCUGAACAACUUGAGAAGAGUUGUUUGACAGAAGAACAUGUUGGUUAUUUGUCUGAUGGUAGUCAGAAC